UACGUAGGGGGCAAGCGUUGUCCGGAUUUAUUGGGCGUAAAGCGCGUGUAGGCGGCCACACAGGUCCUCUGUGAAAACUCGAGGCUCAACCUCGAGCUGUCGGUGGAAACCGUGUGGCUAGAGUCCGGAAGAGGAGACUGGAAUUCCCGGUGUAGCGGUGGAAUGCGCAGAUAUCGGGAGGAACACCCGUGGCGAAGGCGGGUCUCUGGGACGGUACUGACGCUGAGACGCGAAAGCGUGGGGAGCGAACAGG
rnacentral:rRNA from 1 species